GAUGAAGAACGUAGCGAAAUGCGAAAAGUAGUGUGAAUUGCAGAAUUCAGUGAAUCAUCGAAUCUUUGAACGCACAUUGCGCCACUUGGUAUUCCAUGGGGCAUGCCUGUUCGAGCGUCAUUUCACCACUCAAGCCUCGCUUGGUAUUGGGCAACGCGGUCCGCCGCGUGCCUCAAAUCGACCGGCUGGGUCUUCUGUCCCCUAAGCGUUGUGGAAACUAUUCGCUAAAGGGUGUUCGGGAGGCUACGCCGUAAAACAACCCCAUUUCUAAGGUUGACCUCGGAUCAGGUAGGGAUACCCGCUGAACUUAAGCAUAUCAAUAAGCGGAG
rnacentral:misc_RNA from 1 species